GAUGAACGCUGGCGGCGUGCUUAACACAUGCAAGUCGAACGGGAAUUAUUUUAUUGAAACUUCGGUCGAUUUAAUUUAAUUCUAGUGGCGGACGGGUGAGUAACGCGUGGGUAACCUGCCUUAUACAGGGGGAUAACAGUCAGAAAUGGCUGCUAAUACCGCAUAAGCGCACAGAGCUGCAUGGCUCAGUGUGAAAAACUCCGGUGGUCUAAGAUGGACCCGCGUUGGAUUAGCUUGUUGGCAGGGUAACGGCCUACCAAGGCGACGAUCCAUAGCCGGCCUGAGAGGGUGAACGGCCACAUUGGGACUGAGACACGGCCCAGACUCCUACGGGAGGCAGCAGUGGGGAAUAUUGCACAAUGGGGGAAACCCUGAUGCAGCGACGCCGCGGGAAGGAAGAAGUAUCUCGGUAUGUAAACUUCUAUCAGCAGGGAAGAUAGUGACGGUACCUGACUAAGAAGCCCCGGCUAACUACGUG
rnacentral:rRNA from 1 species